AUUGAACGCUAGCGGGAUGCCUAACACAUGCAAGUCGAACGGAGUGGCGGACGGGUGAGUAAUAUAUAGGAAUGUGCCCAGUAGCGGGGGAUAACUACGCGAAAGAGUGGCUAAUACCGCAUACUAUUAGUUCGGCCGAUGUCGGAUUAGCUAGUUGGUGGGGUAAAGGCUCACCAAGGCAAGGAUCCCUAGCUGGUUUGAGAGGACGACCAGCCACACUGGGACUGAGACACGGCCCAGACUCCUACGGGAGGCAGCAGUGGGGAAUUUUGGACAAUGGGGGAAACCCUGAUCCAGCCAUCCCGCGUGUAUGAUGAAGGCCUUCGGGUUGUAAAGUACUUUUGGCGGGGAAGCGGUAUCUGCAGAAUAAGCACCGGCUAACUCCGUGCCAGCAGCCGCGGUAAUUC
rnacentral:rRNA from 1 species